GAUAAGACCAGGGCGCAGUUGCUGGCACUAUUUAAGUCAGGAAGCAUCUGAUGGCCCAGUUACCACAGCAACCAAAGUUUGCUUUGAGAAUAGCUGGUGCUCUGAUCUUAUCUGGACAGUGAAGAGACGCAGAGAUGCAUGUCGCCAGGACGGUCAAGGCUCCAGACACAUUCAGAUAACUCUCUUCUGCAGUUGGCCACCAGAGCUGGGCACGUGAGGGCCUGGUGAUGCACACUGAAGAUGGACUGGGAUCUUUCUAAGGGGUGGAAGAUGCUGGUACGGCCUCAGUCUGCAAGAGAGGCUCCUCAGAGGACAGGGGCACGUGCCACGAGUUAAGCAGACGGCUCCCCAGCUGGAUCUCAUCCUCCAUCCCCCUCACAGCUACCACCAGGGUCACUGCAUAAAGAAGUCCUUUCGCUGGAGAGGCUUAAAGAGUUUCAAGAUGAGAUUUGUUUUUUUAAACAGAAAACUUCUAUCAAUAGCUUCCAAAUUAGACACAUCUGUAGACUUACAGCACCCAGAUGACUUCAGAUAAUGUAUUUGGCCCAUCUCCUACAUCUGGAUGGUUGAGGCUGUAUGUCAAAAAAAGAAGAAAAAAGGUGUGUGUGGGGGGAAUGUUAGAAAGAUUUCCUUGGUCUGUUGAUAAUAACAUAAAUAAAAAUGAACUUGAGUCCCA